rnacentral:rRNA from 1 species
CCCUUAGAUGUUCUGGGCUGCACGCGCGCUACACUGGCGCACGCAACAGGUGCCUGCUCCGAGAGGACUGGGUAAUCAUUUGAGUGUGCGUCGUGAUGGGGAUAGAAUAUUGUAAUUAUUACUCUUCAACGAGGAAUUCCUAGUAAGCGCCAGUCAGCAGCUUGCGCUGAUUACGUCCCUGCCCUUUGUACACACCGCCCGUCGCUCCUACCGAUGGGUGAUCCGGUGAAUGAUUCGGACUUCAGCGGCUCCCCUGGGGUGCGCCGGAGAAAGUUUUGUGAACCUUAUCACUUGGAGGAAGGAGAAGUCGUAACA